rnacentral:rRNA from 1 species
GACGAACGCUGGCGGCGGGCCUAACACAUGCAAGUCGAACGAGUGGCGGACGGGUGAGUAAUUUCUGGGAAACUGCCCGAUGGAGGGGGAUAACUACUGGAAACGGUAGCUAAUACCGCAUCCCAUCGGAUGUGCCCAGAUGGGAGUAGCUAGUCGGUGGGGUAACGUCUCACCUAGGCGACGAUCCCUAGCUGGUCUGAGAGGAUGACCAGCAACACUGGAACUGAGACACGGGACAGACUCCGACGGGAGGCAGCAGUGGGGAAUAUUGCACAAUGGGCGAAAGCCUGAUGCAGCCAUGCAGCGUGUAUGAAGAAGGACGUCGGGUUGUAAAGUACUUUAAGCGAGGAGGCGUUACUCGCAGAAGAAGCACCGGCUAAAUCCGUGCCAGCAGCCGCGGUAAUUG